AAUCGAAGCAGUGAACUUAAGCCCCAGUAAACGGCGGCCGUAACUAUAACGGUCCUAAGGUAGCGAAAUUCCUUGUCGGGUAAGUUCCGACCCGCACGAAAGGCGUAACGAUUUGGGCACUGUCUCAACAACAGACCCGGUGAAAUUGUAAUUCCGGUGAAGAUGCCGGAUACCUGCGACAGGACGGAAAGACCCCAUGGAGCUUUACUGUAGCUUGACAUUGGGUCUUGGUACUACAUGUACAGGAUAGGUGGGAGGCUUUGA
rnacentral:rRNA from 1 species